rnacentral:rRNA from 1 species
UACGGAGGAUCCAAGCGUUAUCCGGAAUCAUUGGGUUUAAAGGGUCCGUAGGCGGUUUUAUAAGUCAGUGGUGAAAGCCCAUCGCUCAACGGUGGAACGGCCAUUGAUACUGUAGACUUGAAUUAUUGGGAAGUAACUAGAAUAUGUAGUGUAGCGGUGAAAUGCUUAGAGAUUACAUGGAAUACCAAUUGCGAAGGCAGGUUACUACCAAUAAUAUUUGACGCUG